rnacentral:lncRNA from 1 species
UCUCCUUCUCUUCUUCUCCUCUUCCCUUUUCCUCCCCAACGCCACACACCUCCUCGCUGCAGCCUUGCCGCAGCUAUCCUCCUAUCUUCUUCUUCUUCUUCUUCCCUUCUCCUCCCCAACGCCCCACACAUCCUCUCCUCUGUUUCCACCUGCGGGAAACAGAGGUGCAGCAGCCCUAGCUGCUGCUGCUGCCUCUCCCUCUCCUCUCCAUCUUCCCUCUCUUCUUCUUCUUCUUCUUCUUCUUUUCUUCUCUUCUCCCUCUUCCUCCUCUCUUCUUUUCCCUCUUCUUCUUCUUUCUUCUCUCCUCACGCCCCACCGCUCGAAGAAACAGAGAGUGCGUGGGAGGCGGUGGGAUAAAACCGAAAUUUUCGGUUUUCUUUAUUUUCUUUUCAUUUUGCAACUUAGCAGUUUAGUCCUUGAAAUUUUCAUAUUUACAUAUAGGUCCCCCGAUUUAUAAAUAAAUCUUUAUUAAUAAUUUUCAAAAACGAGGGAUAUUACACGAUGUGUUAUUUGCAUACAAAUUGAGAUCGAAAGAGGUUUUUUGUUUCGAUCGCUUCAAUAUCUAGAUUAAUAACCCGAGAUAUAUGAGUAUAGAUGCGAGUGGUCAAAAAAGUGAUAUUCAUCUUUUAUACUUAGUCAUAAAUAAACAGAAUAUUCUAUGAGGAGGCAGUCUCUAACUGCUUCCAACGAUCUCUCAUUAGUCUCUUAUCUACAUGGGUGAUAAGGGAGAGAUAACCCAUAUGCCUUGUGUUACUAACUUGAACAUCAGAAGGAUCGGAUCGAGAAACCUCUCUCAAUCUCAGUUUGAGUAUAGGUGAUAUUUGAGAGCUCAACGUUUUGAUCUCAGUGUUAUCUCAAACAAUCUGUGUAUACGGGUUUGGAUCACAUUGGGUUGAUUAGGACAUCAAUGACUUCUUUUCCAUAAUACAAUGAGAGUCUAAGCGGAAAAAAACGUUUUGACUCGAGAGGUUGUUAUAAAAGUUAUUCUUGAAAAUAAAAAUUUUCGAAGAAUAUUCUCUCUCUCUCGGUUCAUGUUAGCUGACCGGGCUCUGCAUAUUGAAUCUUGAAAAUAUUGGCUGUUUGUACCAAAAUUCGAGAGGAAGAAAGGAAGAAACAGAGUUCAGCAUGCUCGGUGUUCUUGAAUUUGGUUGAUGAAUGUUCACAAGAGCUGUGAAAGAUGCAUAGAGCACAAACAAUUUCUGCAACUGGCUUCAUCCCAUGCUAUAUAAUCCAUCAUCAAAUUGUUCACCGAGAAACCAAGGAAUCCUUCUUGGAUGGAUCUCCAGUCUUGACUCUGGAAGGAAGGAGAUCCAAUGAACCAAGGCAGCAUGCAUUGCUUCCAAAGUUCCACAAGCUUUUCCCUCUUAUGAUGGCAACUGCUGCUCUCAACGUUUACCACUACGUAUGAUGGAUUCAAAUCAUCAGCUAUUCUCUCUUAAGAAUGAAGAGUUCAGAACAUGCCUUCUAAUUUUCAACCCUUCAAAUGUCUCAACUGGUCAAAAGCAUUGUAAACGAAGACAAAUUUGAGGAAAAUAGCGAUGCCGAUGCCGGUCUUCUCUGUGUGUCAUGCAGAUGCCAGCUUGGUCUCUGUGCGAGAGUUGUCAGAUCAUUUCAAGAUUCUUGUUGACACCAAACCUAACCAGAAGGAAGGAAAGAGUCAGUCAGACAUGGUGGUUGAAAGGAGCUUAGGAAGGGUAAUUCCACAUUGACUCUUACUCGAAGCUUGAAGUGGACUUUGUCUACAGUCAUUUUGACACGCCUAAAGCCGCGUUCGUUGCCUUCUCCAUCCUCUUCUUCCCCAAGAAAUCCAACACACGAUCGAUCUAUUCUUCGACCUCUCUCUGAUACGAUGAGAUACUGUACCAUCUUGACCGCCUUUCUCUGCCAAUGCUUCCUCCAAGCUUCUUCCUACGCUUCCUCCUGCUGCUUCUUCUUGUCGCCAUCUCUUCUCCAAGCAUUGCAGCUUCUCUGUCAACAGUAGCAAUCUCCCGUAUCUCGAACGUUGUAGUGGUUUGCGCCGUCGUUCGACCGAAUGCCAACAGAGGAUACGACCUGAGUUGCACCAGCCUGCCAACGGGGCACCGACGUAUUUACAGGUCGGGCCCCAUCUCCUCCUUUGCCAUCGCUGGUGGAGAUGGAUUCCUGUGCUUGCUCAGCCUGUCCACGGACGUCUCCACCAUGGUCUGGUGGGACUUGUAUCAGGAGUCCUACAACGGCUGGCCGCCGGACUACAGGAGGGUCUACAGCGGGCCGCCCUUAGCCGAUCUCUCCGCCGGAGACACGCAUGUUUGCGGCGUCCGAGGCGGCAGCCUCCCCCGUCCCACUUGCUGGCGCUGGAACCAGUUCACCUUUCCCGAGGGCGUGUACUUCUCUGAUAUCGCCGUCGGCGGCGACUUCGUUUGCGGGCUGCUGUUGAGCCGGGAGAUCGCAUGCUUUGGAAAUGACAUCGGUGUCGUGGGCCAGGAGCCGCCAGGGACUUAUUCCACUGUCGCCGCUGGCACCCGGCACGCCUGCGCGGUCACCGGGGACGGCAAGCUGGUGUGCUGGGGAGCGGGCAAGCCGGAGGUGGGAGUAAUUCCAAUCAGGAUCAGCUCGUUGGCACUGGGGGAGAACAAGACGUGCGCGCUCGGCAGCCAUGGAGGAGUAAUGUGCUGGGGAGAUAAUUCCAGUUUGCCGUCCAGCCUCGCCAACACCGAGUUCGUGGCGAUUCAUGCGAAGGGCAGUACGAUCUGUGGAAUUCUCAGGAUCAACUAUUCCUUGGCCUGUUGGGGAAGCGCCGUCUUCUGCCACAAACCGGUGGUCUUCGAGGGCGUGUUGCCUGGCACCUGUAUGCCGACGUCUAGUUGUCGCUGCGGUCCCCUGGAAGGCUCCGGCCAGUUGUGCGCCAAUGGCCGCGUCGUCUGCUCUCUCUGCGAGCUCGGGAGAGAAGCGAGUAGUCCGAGAGCACCUCUUCCUCCUCCACC